rnacentral:rRNA from 1 species
GACGAACGCUGGCGGCGUGCUUAACACAUGCAAGUCGAACGGAAAGGCCCUGCUUUUGUGGGGUGCUCGAGUGGCGAACGGGUGAGUAACACGUGAGUAACCUGCCCUUGACUUUGGGAUAACUUCAGGAAACUGGGGCUAAUACCGGAUAGGAGCUCCUGCUGCAUGGUGGGGGUUGGAAAGUUUCGGCGGUUGGGGAUGGACUCGCGGCUUAUCAGCUUGUUGGUGGGGUAGUGGCUUACCAAGGCUUGGACGGGUAGCCGGCCUGGGAGGGUGACCGGCCACAUUGGGACUGGGAUACGGCCCAGACGCAUACGGGAGGCAGCAGUGGGGAAUAUUGCACAAUGGGCGGAAGCCUGAUGCAGCAACGCCGCGUGCGGGAGGACGGCCUUCGGGUUGUAAACCGCUUUCGCCUGUGACGAAGCGUGAGGGACGGUAAUGGGUAAAGAAGCACCGGCUAACUACGG